ACCCUUCUUUUGGAAGAUAUGACUGUUACGAUCUUAUGUCAGGUUGUGUUUUUGCACCGUUAUUUACCAUUUCCCAUUGACUGCUAAAUACAUCUUUGAAAAUUAAAUUCAGGUGAGCUCAUGUUAGUGGAGGCAUUUGAUUGAUUCUCAACCCACAUCGAUUGUUGGUAUCACUGAUGCCAUUAUAGGGUUGGUGCUAUUGACUCGGGAAAUAAGCAGCAUGCGUUCUGUCAAACCAUAAGUUGGCAUUUGGCGGGCGUCGGAGGUCUAGCGGGCGCAGAAUAGGAGCUCCCCUUUCUACAGCGUAU